GCGGAUGUGGCGGAAUCGGCAUACGCGCACGUUUGAGGGGCGUGUGGUUUUACCGUACGAGUUCAAGUCUCGUCAUCCGCACCA
rnacentral:tRNA from 1 species